rnacentral:rRNA from 1 species
UACGUAGGGGGGCUAGCGUUGUCCGGAAUCAUUGGGCGUAAAGAGCGUGUAGGCGGUCCGGUAAGUCGGCUGUGAAAGUCCAGGGCUCAACCCUGGGAUGCCGGUCGAUACUGCCGGACCAGAGUUCGGAAGAGGCGAGUGGAAUUCCCGGUGUAGCGGUGAAAUGCGCAGAUAUCGGGAGGAACACCUAUGGCGAAGGCAGCUCGCUGGGACGUUACUGACGCUGAGACGCGAAAGCGUGGGGAGCAAACAGG